rnacentral:rRNA from 1 species
AUUGAACGCUGGCGGCAUGCCUUACACAUGCAAGUCGAACGGCAGCGCGGGAGCAAUCCUGGCGGCGAGUGGCGAACGGGUGAGUAAUACAUCGGAACGUGCCCAAUCGUGGGGGAUAACGCAGCGAAAGCUGUGCUAAUACCGCAUACGAUCUACGGAUGAAAGCAGGGGAUCGCAAGACCUUGCGCGAAUGGAGCGGCCGAUGGCAGAUUAGGUAGUUGGUGAGGUAAAGGCUCACCAAGCCUUCGAUCUGGAGCUGGUCUGAGAGGACGACCAGCCACACUGGGACUGAGACACGGCCCAGACUCCUACGGGAGGCAGCAGUGGGGAAUUUUGGACAAUGGGCGAAAGCCUGAUCCAGCCAUGCCGCGUGCAGGAUGAAGGCCUUCGGGUUGUAAACUGCUUUUGUACGGAACGAAACGGCCUUUUCUAAUAAAGAGGGCUAAUGACGGUACCGUAAGAAUAAGCACCGGCUAACUACGUGC